UAGACCAAUUAAAAGCCAACUAUGUAAAGUUUCACAAGCAUUGUUCCACUGUCUAUAAAUACUGUAGAAGCAUCAGUCUUCAGUAUCAAACAAGUCAAUAGACAACCGUAAGGUAGGUUUUUCUAAUAUCUGUCACUCAAAUGUCACGUUUGUGUCUUACUAUCUAGACUAUUUUUUUAAAAUAUUUUAUUUGCUUGAAUGCUGUCUGUUUUCAUGUCUGUUUCUUGUAUAAGAUUGCCGUUUAAGCUUUAGUUGGCAAAUAUAUAGUGUAAUUUUAUAAUACAGCAAAUAUGCUUAAACAAAUCAAAGCUUACAUAAAUAGUUCUGACCUACUAAUACAUAUAUUCUGACUAAUUUAAUGCAUGGAAUAAGUGUUUUGUUGCCCAAAAACAGAGAAAACAUCAGGCAAGCACUGAAAGCAGCAGAGUCAAAAUCAAGAAAAACAGUGCAUCCUCUGAGCUGACGAUGACACCAUUCACCAUUGCAGUUUCAUCAUGUGCAUUAUUUAGACAAGAGAACGGGGAGACCGCUCUAGGAGUUGCUUAUCCAUUAGUCAAGGCACUUACAAUGGUGAAUCAACGUUUGAGCGAGAUGGAUCCAGCCAUUGAAGAGUUGUUUAAAAUUGUGUUGAUACCUACCAACAUGGAUCACUCCAAAGAGAGCAUUGAAAACUAUAAUCUAAAUAUUGAGAUUGCUUGUGAAAAACCCAUCCUAAAACACCUUGAGGAGUUCAAGCCUAUUCUCUUCCUUUCCACAAACGCACAGAAUGUGAGAGAGGCCAUCAGUGCAGGAUACGGAGCAGCCACUAUGUUCCAGCAAGAUUACGACGAGCACAGUGAUGA
ensembl:lncRNA